GCCCCACGUGCAACGCCCCCACCAAUGGGCGCACCGCGCGCGCGGACCCGGAUCAGGAAACGCGCGGCAUCUACUUCGAUGGAGGUGGCGAUGUGAGAGCUAAGGAUGCCCGCGCUUACUGGGUGCGACUGUGGGAGAGAAGGUGCCUUGACGACAGGAAUGUACAGAAGCGACGCCUCCACAAAUCCGAGCUUCGAAACCAAUAACUUCCUAUUUCAGAACAAUCCCCAAACACAAACAAGCUAGGGAUAGAAUAAACACCUUGCCUGCCGGGGUCUGAUCACCGAAGGGGUUUUCCAGCUAAGAAUUUUAUGUUUCCUCUUUUGGAUGCUGCUUUCUCAGGCUGUAUGAGGCUAGAGUUACAUUUACAGGGCAGUCUAUAAUUUCUGAAUUGCUGAAAAUUAGCAUAUUAACGAUAUCAGUAGCUCCGGAAAGGAGGGAGAGGGGACUGUUGCCUGCCAUUUGGUAAUUGAAAUUUGAUGGGUAAGCUAAUUAUGCCAUUAUUAACAAAUAAAUUACUUAUCAAUUCUA